rnacentral:tRNA from 1 species
GCCCCGAUAGCCCAAUUGGCAUGAGGCAGCAGAUUCAAAACCUGCACAGUGUGGGUUCGAGUCCCACUCGGGGCA